rnacentral:rRNA from 1 species
UGAGGAAUAUUGCACAAUGGGCGCAAGCCUGAUGGAGCGACGUCGCGUGAUGGACGAAGUGCUUCGGCACGUAAACAUCUUUUUAUGUGGGAUGAGAUUAUUGACAGUACCACAUGAAUAAGGGGCUCCUAACUCUGUGCCAGCAGGAGCGGUAAUACAGAGGCCCCAAGCGUUAUCCGGAAUCACUGGGCGUAAAGGGUGUCGAGGCGGUUGUAUUAGUCGUUCGUAAAAUCUACGAGCUUAACUUGUAGGCGGCGAACGAAACGGUACGACUUGAGGUUUGGAGAGGUGCGUGGAACUCACGGUGUAGGGGUGAAAUUCGUAGAUAUUCGCAAGAACACCAGUGGCGAAGGCGGCUCACUGGCCCGAUACUGACGCUGAGGCACGAAAGCGUGGGGAGCAAACAGGAUUAGAUACCCCCGUAGUCCCUGAGCGGGCUGGCAAG